CCCGUUCACUGCACCAUUAAAAGGUAAUUUUCCUAUCGUCGGCAUUUUCUAUGUUCGUUCCAGUUCUGCAUUAGUUUGGCAUUGGCUGUUUCGGCUUAUUUGGUGUAUAAAAGGAUGUUUUAAAUUUUUGUAUUACAUGUUGAUUCCAUUAUCAUGUUUCGGUUAAUGGCAUUAGAUAAAUAAGGUUAAUAAGCCCCUUCUACUUGUUUCGUUUUAGAAAAAUUAUGAUUUGAAGUAGUGUUUAAAAUCCUCUUUAUCCAGAAAUGUGCCUCUGAUCUUUAAAAGCAUAAUAUGACCACUCAGGGUAUUCUGAAUAUCUGAACAAGUAUGAACGCUUCUCUUGUAUGCUUGAUGUGGCAAUAAAGUAUACAUUGCUUUAUAGUUGAACUGUAGUUGUGUUGAAAUUGCUACUAGUUUGGUAUGUCUGUUUGUAGAUUACUUAAGAUAAAAUCUUGUUUGUGUAUAUGUUGAGAUGAUUGGGAAAAGAAUGUUU